ensembl:snoRNA
ACCCCCUGGCGAUGGGCAAGGAGACACCUGAUUGGUGGUGUUGCUCUUAUAUCAAUCAGGGACAAAGCAGAUGUACAGUCCUUAGUUCAUCCUAGCUUGAUGCUUGUGUCGGUAGCCAGAGCUGUUUCAUGACUGAGGCACAUUA